AUUGAACGCUGGCGGCAUGCCUUACACAUGCAAGUCGAACGGUAACAGGUCUUCGGAUGCUGACGAGUGGCGAACGGGUGAGUAAUACAUCGGAACGUGCCUAGUAGUGGGGGAUAACUACUCGAAAGAGUGGCUAAUACCGCAUGAGAUCUACGGAUGAAAACAGGGGAUCGCAAGACUUUGUGCUACUAGAGCGGCCGAUGGCAGAUCAGGUAGUUGGUGGGAGAAAAGCUUACCAAGCCGACGAUCUGUAGCUGGUCUGAAGGGACGAUCAGCCACACUGGGACUGAGACAAGGCCCAGGAUCCGACAGGAGGCAGCAGUGGGGAAUUUUGGACAAUGGGCGAAAGCCUGAACCAGCAAUGCCGCGUGCAGGAUGAAGGCCUUCGGGUUGUAAACUGCUUUUGUACGGAACGAAAAGCCCCGGGUUAAUACCCUGGGGUCAUGACGGUACCGUAAGAAUAAGCACCGGCUAACUACGUGCCAGCCGCCGCGGUAA
rnacentral:rRNA from 1 species